GGACAACAGUUGGAAACGACUGCUAAUACCGCAUGACGCAUAGGGGUCGCAUGAUCUUUAUGCCAAAGAUUUAUCGCUUCAAGAUGGCCUCGCGUCUGAUUAGCUAGUUGGCGGGGUAACGGCCCACCAAGGCGACGAUCAGUAGCCGGACUGAGAGGUUGAACGGCCACAUUGGGACUGAGAUACGGCCCAGACUCCUACGGGAGGCAGCAGUGGGGAAUAUUGGGCAAUGGGCGCAAGCCUGACCCAGCAACGCCGCGUGAAGGAAGAAGGCUUUCGGGUUGUAAACUUCUUUUAAGAGGGAAGAGCAGAAGACGGUACCUCUAGAAUAAGCCACGGCUAACUACGUGCCAGCAGCCGCGGUAAUACGUAGGUGGCAAGCGUUGUCCGGAUUUACUGGGUGUAAAGGGCGUGCAGCCGGGUCUGCAAGUCAGAUGUGAAAUCCAUGGGCUCAACCCAUGAACUGCAUUUGAAACUGUAGAUCUUGAGUGUCGGAGGGGCAAUCGGAAUUCCUAGUGUAGCGGUGAAAUGCGUAGAUAUUAGGAGGAACACCAGUGGCGAAGGCGGAUUGCUGGACGAUAACUGACGGUGAGGCGCGAAAGUGUGGGGAGCAAACAGGAUUAGAUACCCUGGUAGUCCACACUGUAAACGAUGGAUACUAGGUGUGCGGGGACUGACCCCCUGCGUGCCGCAG
rnacentral:rRNA from 1 species